UACAGAGGUCCCAAGCGUUGUUCGGAUUCACUGGGCGUAAAGGGUGCGUAGGUGGUUGGGCAAGUCUGAUGUGAAAUCUCCGGGCUUAACCCGGAAAUGGCAUUGGGAACUGCCUGGCUAGAGUGUUGGAGGGGGGACUGGAAUUCUCGGUGUGGCAGUGAAAUGCGUAGAUAUCGAGAGGAACACCAGUGGCGAAGGCGAGUCCCUGGACAACGACUGACACUGAGGCACGAAAGCUAGGGGAGCAAACAGG
rnacentral:rRNA from 1 species